CCUACGGGAGGCAGCAGUGGGGAAUUUUGGACAAUGGGCGCAAGCCUGAUCCAGCAAUGCCGCGUGAGUGAAGAAGGCCUUCGGGUUGUAAAGCUCUUUUGUCAGGGAAGAAACGGCUGAGGUUAAUACCUUUGGCUAAUGACGGUACCUGAAGAAUAAGCACCGGCUAACUACGUGCCAGCAGCCGCGGUAAUACGUAGGGUGCAAGCGUUAAUCGGAAUUACUGGGCGUAAAGCGUGCGCAGGCGGUUUUGUAAGUCUGACGUGAAAUCCCCGGGCUCAACCUGGGAAUUGCGUUGGAGACUGCAAGGCUGGAGUCUGGCAGAGGGGGGUAGAAUUCCACGUGUAGCAGUGAAAUGCGUAGAGAUGUGGAGGAACACCGAUGGCGAAGGCAGCCCCCUGGGUCAAGACUGACGCUCAUGCACGAAAGCGUGGGGAGCAAACAGGAUUAGAUACCCUGGUAGUCCACGCCCUAAACGAUGUCUACUAGUUGUCGGGUCUUAAUUGACUUGGUAACGCAGCUAACGCGUGAAGUAGACCGCCUGGGGAGUACGGUCGCAAGAUUAAAACUCAAAGGAAUUGACGGCUAGACGNGACGAGACGACACGAGGAGAGG
rnacentral:rRNA from 1 species